UACGAAGGGGGCUAGCGUUGCUCGGAAUCACUGGGCGUAAAGGGUGCGUAGGCGGGUCUUUAAGUCGGGGGGGAAAUCCUGGAGCUCAACUCCAGAACUGCCUUUGAUACUGGCGAUCUUGAGUCCGGGAGAGGUGAGUGGAACUGCGAGUGUAGAGGUGAAAUUCGUAGAUAUUCGCAAGAACACCAGUGGCGAAGGCGGCUCACUGGCCCGGUACUGACGCUGAGGUGCGAAAGCGUGGGGAGCAAACAGG
rnacentral:rRNA from 1 species